AUGGACCAAUCCAUCCCUUUUUCCCGUGCAUAUGCAUCGGACUCGGUUGACGAUGGUCCCGAUGAAGAAGUUGAUGGGGAGGGGUUCACACCGAAGGAGGCCCAAGCAUUCAAGAAGGUAUUCGGGCGGGAUCACAAGACACCAUUGUUCAAGGAUCUUAGUCUCGCAGAUGAAGCCGUUGUGGAUGGUGGCAAAUGCAUAUCUCUUGGAGCUAGGACAAGUUCUCAC
rnacentral:rRNA from 1 species